GGGUUCAUAGCUCAGUGGCAGAGUGCCUGUUUUGCAUGCAGAUGGUCCCAGGUUCAAUGCCUAGCGUAUCCA